CGUAGGUGGCAAGCGAUACUCGGAAUCACUAGGCGUAAAGCGCAGGUAGGCGGUUGGGUAAGUCUUUUGUGAAAGCUCCUGGCUUAACUGGGAGAGGUCAAAGGAAACUACUCGGCUAGAGUUUGGUAGGGGAUACUGGAAUUCCUGGUGUAGCGGUGAAAUGCGUAGAUAUCAGGAGGAAUACCUAUGGCGAAAGCAGGUAUCUGGGCCACAACUGACGCUGAGCUGCGAAAGCUAGGGGAGCAAACAGGAUUAGAUACCCUGGUAGUCCUAGCCCUAAACGAUGCUCAUUAGAUGUGGGAGGUAUCGACCCCUUCCGCGUCGCAGCUAACGCAUUAAAUGAGCCGCCUGGGGAGUACGGCCGCAAGGUUG
rnacentral:rRNA from 1 species